AGAGGCUGGCGGGAGGGGGGCUCCACGGAGCUCCAGCCAGGGCCGCGGUUCGCCUGCACGUCACGGCUACUCAAACCCAAGCACGUCCCGAAAGCGGUAUUUUCUGCGUCUGGGAGGUUUUUGCAUCCUCAGUUCCCACCGCUGGGGCUGGCGGCGACCAACUGUAAGAGAAACUCACUGGGAGGCGAGGCAGGGGGGUGCGGAGGAUGGGAAGGCGACUCUGAAGGGUGGGAAGUGAAUGCUGGACUUGAUCGUCUUUCUCUUUCUUUCAGCGCAGACCUGUCGCAGCCAGAGAGCUGUCAUUUCAGUACCGGGAUUCAGAAUUGAUCCAGUCCGCAGCGGAGGGGGCACAUCCCAGCUACCGAGCUGCUGAGUGUCUCUGGCUGGAACAAUAGUAUUUUUUUCUCUGCGAGGCUGCAAUUAACAUCUUAUUUGUUCUGGCUCCAUACAGGCUUUGUCAGGAUCGCGGUGCGGCGACCGACGUUGGGCUCUUGCAUUGCUUUGUGCUUGGCAAUGGAAUCAUGGUUUCGGGGUCUAAACUUUUGUUUCGUUUUGUAGUCUUAAUGUAUCUGAUUCUUUUUCAAGUUUCCCUAGUAACAGGUUUGGGGACGGGGUGGGAAGAAGCGAGAAAAGGGGUGAAGAGAAAAAACCAGAUUAUAUAGAAAGGAAAAAGGGAAAAGGGAUGUUUCCCCACCUUUUAAUCUAACUAUCUAUCUGUCUGUCUAUCUAUCAUCAUAGAUAGUCAUUUUGCCUCCUGGACAGUUGGCUGACGAAGUGUCUGAUAAACCAGCUUCAGAUACAUGCUACAAAAGGUCAUUCGCCUCCUGAUUAUGUUUCUACUUGUAAACGCAGUUGGUGGUUUGCAAAACAAGUGCUAAAAUAGUGCAGUGAUGUGGUGGGAGGAAACCAUAAUGGGUAAUUCAUAUAAAGUGCUGGAAUCUUCGUAAGGGCUACUGAGCUGGCCUGAUGAUGAUCCUUCUGAGAUAUAUUUAUAGCAGAUGAUUUGUGGAUGAUAACUACGCCAAGCAAGACACUGUCUCCAGUAACCCCAGGCUCGUCUGACUUCCUCAGGGGAUUAUAAUAAAGAAUCACAAAAAGAACCCUAUAUGGACAGUCUGGUCUCUGGACACUAACAACAGCACAAUCCAAAGGCAAAGAAAGGAGGAACCACCUUGUUUCAUGUCUGCAAGCUGCUCCAUAUGAAAGCAUUGCUGACAUGUUGACCCAACAGCAAAAAGAGAGCAGCAGUUUACACACCCUCAGCUCUCUGUCCUUUCCUUUCUAUUGAUGUUGGUCCACUUUUAUGACUGAAUACAU
rnacentral:lncRNA from 10 species